rnacentral:rRNA from 1 species
UACGGGGGGAGCAAGCGUUGUUCGGAUUUACUGGGCGUAAAGGGCGCGUAGGCGGCCUUCUAAGUCGAACGUGAAAUCCCCGGGCUCAACCCGGGAACUGCGUCCGAUACUGGAAGGCUUGAAUCCGGGAGAGGGAUGCGGAAUUCCAGGUGUAGCGGUGAAAUGCGUAGAUAUCUGGAGGAACACCGGUGGCGAAGGCGGCAUCCUGGACCGGCAUUGACGCUGAGGCGCGAAAGCCAGGGGAGCAAACGGG